rnacentral:lncRNA from 1 species
UUACCCAUUCAGUGAUUAUUAGAAUCAUUGUCAUCCUUUUACUUGCAGACAGAUAAAACUGUCUAUAUGAAAUAAUGGAGAAAAAAGAAUAACACUUUAUUUUAUUUUAUUUUAUUUUAUUUUAUUUUAUUUUAUUUUAUUUUAAUGUCCUGGAAACCGGAAGCCUAAGUUAAGUAUAAUCUCUGCUUCCAACCUAGUGAAGUACACAAAAUGCCAAUAAGUCUGAUGGAAUUAAUCACCACAUCGUGGAACUGGGAGUAAAAUGUGAGUAGCACAUAGGGAAGAGAGCAGAGACUUUUUACCUUCUUCCCUGUGAGGCUUUUGCGGUAGCAGCAAUCGCUAUCUGUAAGUACCACUCCUACCAUGGAGUGCAGAAAGGCCAAAUAGAAAAAAGUUGGGCAAAACUGGUAUAUCUUCCUUGUCCACCUACCCAGCAGGGGGCAACCAUAGAUUCAGAAUUGUCCUUUUGGAGACCCAGCAACAGAAAAGCACAUCUUCUUUGACUGUGACAUUGGAGGUGAGAAAUGAAUGCAAUAUACUAAGUAUAGCAUAUAGAGAAUAGUAAAUGAUAUUUGAAAACACGUUUUGGCUGUUAGGCAGCUUAAAUACCAGAGACAUUUAGGCAUUUAAUCCCAGACAGUUAUUGUAGUUAGACACUUCUGAGGUCCUGAAAAGAAAGAAAGAAAGAAAGUGGAUGAAUCAAGGAACUGUGGAUAAUGGACCUAAUGGAUCAGUUAUGUGACUUAGCUGCCUAAAGUCACACAAACAGCAAAAUCAGGGAGAUGAAUCUGGUACAAAUAUAUAUUUAAUCAAUAAGAGACCAUUUCUAUUGCUUAUUACCCUGUAUGUUAUUAACCUUACAUUUUCCUCCAGGGCUCGGGGAAAUGGAAAUGUACACCAGAUGAACCUAAAAGCUUAGAUCAAUAAGCGCUACAAUGCUUAAGAAGAAUCUUUAAACUGAGCCUUAACCUUACUGUGAUAUGUCCUAGAAAAAACACUGUUUCUGUUAGCAAGCUUGUUUUUAUGCUUCUCUUAAAUUGCUUUUUGUAUACCAAGGUGUAUGUUGCUAUAGGUAACUGUUAACAGGAAUACUUUGAGGUCAUAGGUAUAUUAUUAACUGGACAACACCAGUACACUUUUUUUUUUUUUUCAGUCUGCUUGCAGAACAGAUGCAGUCUUAGCAUUUAUAAAUGGCAGCUUGUAGUUAUAAGAGUCCAUAAAGACAAAUAACUUGUAUUGCCUUCUUAGAUUUUCAAUCCUCUUAUAAUGGAAAUAAGGUUUUGUCUUCUAGUGAAUACAAUUGUCACACAGUAAUUGAGUCCCAGAAAAAAAUCAUUAUACAUAUUUAUUAAAAAUGGUACUGUUUCAUUUAUCUUGUGAAACACUCAGUUCUUUCUGAUACCUUCCAGAACAUGUAGCUGUCUGCAAAGCAGACAUCAGUCGAUGUGAAUUCACAACGGGAAGUGCUAAUGCCCAGGUAGCAGAGGCUUAGGAGGCAAGGGU